rnacentral:tRNA from 1 species
ACUUAGCGCAGUAAAAGCGCAUCUCCCUUCAAAUGAGAAAGCCGUGGGUUCAACACUUACAGU